AGCGAACGCUGGCGGCAGGCCUAACACAUGCAAGUCGAGCGCCCCGCAAGGGGAGCGGCAGACGGGAGAGUAACACGUGGGAACGUGCCCUUUGGUUCGGAACAACCCAGGGAAACUUGGGCUAAUACCGGAUAAGCCCUCACGGGGAAAGAUUUAUCGCCGAAGGAUCGGCCCGCGUCUGAUUAGCUAGUUGGUGGGGUAAUGGCCCACCAAGGCGACGAUCAGUAGCUGGUCUGAGAGGAUGAUCAGCCUCACUGGGACUGAGACACGGCCCAGACUCCUACGGGAGGCAGCAGUGGGGAAUAUUGGACAAUGGGCGCAAGCCUGAUCCAGCCAUGCCGCGUGGGUGAUGAAGGCCCUAGGGUUGUAAAGCCCUUUCGGCGGGGAAGAUAAUGACGGUACCCGCAGAAGAAGCCCCGGCUAACUUCGUGCCAGCAGCCGCCGUAA
rnacentral:rRNA from 1 species